rnacentral:rRNA from 1 species
UACGAAGGGGGCUAGCGUUGCUCGGAAUCACUGGGCGUAAAGCGCACGUAGGCGGAUUGUUAAGUCAGGGGUGAAAUCCUGGAGCUCAACUCCAGAACUGCCUUUGAUACUGGCGAUCUCGAGUCCGGGAGAGGUGAGUGGAACUGCGAGUGUAGAGGUGAAAUUCGUAGAUAUUCGCAAGAACACCAGUGGCGAAGGCGGCUCACUGGCACGGUACUGACGCUGAGGUGCGAAAGCGUGGGGAGCAAACAGG